rnacentral:misc_RNA from 1 species
CAGAGAAAUUGCCCUUGGGGUAGAUCUCCCACCCUUUGUUUACAUUACCUUUGUUGCUUUGGCAGGCCUGUCUUUUGACUACUGGCUUUGGCUGGUUCGUGCCUGCCAGAGGACCCUAAACUCUUGAUUUUUGUGUUGUCUGAGUAAUAUAUAAUAAGUUA